rnacentral:rRNA from 1 species
UACGGGGGGGGCAAGCGUUGUUCGGAAUUACUGGGCGUAAAGGGCUCGUAGGUGGCCAACUAAGUCAGACGUGAAAUCCCUCAGCUUAACUGGGGAACUGCGUCUGAUACUGGAUGGCUUGAGUUUGGGAGAGGGAUGCGGAAUUCCAGGUGUAGAGGUGAAAUUCGUAGAUAUUGGGAAGAACACCGAUGGCGAAGGCAGCCGUCUGGACCGACACUGACGCUGAGGCGCGAAAGCGUGGGGAGCAAACAGG